CUGGGAGGACCAUCUCCUAAGGCUAAAUACUCUCUAGUGACCGAUAGUGAACCAGUACCGUGAGGGAAAGGUGAAAAGCACCCCGGAAGGGGAGUGAAAUAGAACCUGAAACCGUGUGCUUACAAGUAGUCAGAGCCCGUUAAUGGGUGAUGGCGUGCCUUUUGUAGAAUGAACCGGCGAGUUACGAUUUGAUGCAAGGUUAAGCAGUAAAUGUGGAGCCGUAGCGAAAGCGAGUCUGAAUAGGGCGUUUAGUAUUUGGUCGUAGACCCGAAACCAGGUGAUCUACCCUUGGUCAGGUUGAAGUUCAGGUAACACUGAAUGGAGGACCGAACCGACUUACGUUGAAAAGUGAGCGGAUGAACUGAGGGUAGCGGAGAAAUUCCAAUCGAACCUGGAGAUAGCUGGUUCUCUCCGAAAUAGCUUUAGGGCUAGCCUCAAGUGAUGAUUAUUGGAGGUAGAGCACUGUUUGGACGAGGGGCCCCUCUCGGGUUACCGAAUUCAGACAAACUCCGAAUGCCAAUUAAUUUAACUUGGGAGUCAGAACAUGGGUGAUAAGGUCCGUGUUCGAAAGGGAAACAGCCCAGACCACCAGCUAAGGUCCCAAAAUAUAUGUUAAGUGGAAAAGGAUGUGGCGUUGCCCAGACAACUAGGAUGUUGGCUUAGAAGCAGCCAUCAUUUAAAGAGUGCGUAAUAGCUCACUAGUCGAGUGACACUGCGCCGAAAAUGUACCGGGGCUAAACAUAUUACCGAAGCUGUGGAUUGUCCUUUGGACAAUGGUAGGAGAGCGUUCUAAGGGCGUUGAAGCAUGAUCGUAAGGACAUGUGGAGCGCUUAGAAGUGAGAAUGCCGGUGUGAGUAGCGAAAGACGGGUGAGAAUCCCGUCCACCGAUUGACUAAGGUUUCCAGAGGAAGGCUCGUCCGCUCUGGGUUAGUCGGGUCCUAAGCUGAGGCCGACAGGCGUAGGCGAUGGAUAACAGGUUGAUAUUCCUGUACCACCUAUAAUCGUUUUAAUCGAUGGGGGGAC
rnacentral:rRNA from 1 species